rnacentral:rRNA from 1 species
UACGUAGGGGGCAAGCGUUGUCCGGAAUCAUUGGGCGUAAAGCGCGUGUAGGCGGCUUGGUAAGUCUGGUGUGAAACCUCGGGGCUCAACCCCGAGCCUGCACUGGAUACUGCCUCGCUUGAGUCCGGGAGGGGAGAGCGGAAUUCCUAGUGUAGCGGUGAAAUGCGUAGAUAUCGUCAAGAACACCUAUUGCGAAGGCAGCUAACUAAGCUUUAACUGACGCUGAGGCACGAAAGUGUGGGGAUCAAACAGG